rnacentral:rRNA from 1 species
GACGAACGCUGGCGGCGUGCUUAACACAUGCAAGUCGAGCGGGGAUUAGUGAGGUGCUUGCACUGAUCUAAUUCUAGCGGCGGACGGGUGAGUAACGCGUGAACAAUCUGUCCCAGACAGGGGGAUAACACUUGGAAACAGGUGCUAAUACCGCAUAAGACCACGAGAUCACAUGUUCUUGGGGUAAAAGAUUUAUCGGUCUGGGGUGAGUUCGCGUCCGAUUAGCUAGUUGGUGAGGUAACGGCCCACCAAGGCGACGAUCGGUAGCCGACCUGAGAGGGUGAUCGGCCACAUUGGAACUGAGACACGGUCCAA